AAAACAUUUUACGUAGGAGUUUUUUCUUAAAAGUUAUUCACAAAGCCUUUGAGACCUACUCUUACUAAGGAUACAUCACUAAGAGUGAACUAAGAGUGACGCGCCGUUGCUAUGGAUGACGUUGAUUCUCGUGCACGAGUUUAGAAGCGGUCAGUGCGGUGAUUGGUUGUUCAGACGAGCCCACUAAAUUACCGAAAAACAAGGAAAUAGACUAGGCUAGAAAUGAAUUCCUAUGAAGUAGUUAUGGACAGUGCAGUUAGCAGAAUACACGCAUGAUGACAAGUUUGUGCAGACCACGAUAAUGACGUUGUAGCCUGCACGUUCAAGAGAGAGAGAGAAAGCAAACAAUAAAAAUACGUAAAUUGCUUUCAAUCAAGGAGGCAAUUAAAAGCACCCUGCAAAAUACUAUCCAAUGAGCAUUUUUCAGCACUUAAAACACUUUAAAUAACAGCCCAUACCGCCGUUCAAGUCCCCCUAUCAUGAUGGAUGUUGAAAACGUGAAACGCAAGCGAAAGGCCAAUUGGUCCCAGGACCAAUUGUUACUACUUGCCCAGUUUGUGCUGGAGCGGAGGGGGGUAAUAAAGGGUAGAUUCGGGGCUGGAGUGACCAGUAAGAAGAAGCGGGAGGCAUGGGAAGAAAUAUGCGUAAACAUAAAUGCUUCCUUCCCUGCUGUUUGUCGCUCUACCGACGAUUGCGAAAGACGUUGGUAUGCCCUGCAAUCACAGUGUAGGUUUGAGAUUGCCGACUAUAAAAGAGCUGUUGCGGCUACAGGUAAGUCCAUUAUUAUCAUUGCUUGCAUUAAUUUGGGAAAUGCAUUUGCAUGUCUUAAAUUUACAAUUAACAAAGGCUACAGUGAUAUGAAACGUGAAUGAAACUGAAAUUUAAUUUGUUGGAGGAGGAUCUGCACCAAAGCCGUUGUCCCCGGUCGCAUCGGUGGUGUACGCCGUCCUAGGCUCGGACGCAAGCAUUACUGGCCUUCAGGGUGCAGCUGAUCCUGCAGUCGAGUUGCUAAAGGAGAUUGAGGGGAGAAAUGAAGAUGAAAGUCCAGCUGCAGCAUCACAUCACACAGCUCUUCCUCUUCCACCCCUUUCUCUUCCAACUCUCCCUCUUGGUGCACCCACUGGCUCUCCUCUCCCUCCUGCUGCUGGUACCAGUUCACUGUACGAGAAGAAAUUGAGGAUGGAAAUGAGGGUUUUAAAAAGGCAAAGAAAGGUCCUCAAAGCGAAAGAGUGGCUAAUAAAAAUGAAGACAGAAUAUUACAGUCUUAAGAUCGAAAAGUUGAAAAAUUGAAAAAAUAAAUGUUAUGAACUACA